CCUACGGGAGGCAGCAGUGAGGAAUAUUGGUCAAUGGACGUAAGGCUGAACCAGCCAAGCCGCGUGAAGGAAGAAGGAUCUAUGGUUUGUAAACUGCUUUUAUAGGGGAAUAAAGGUAUCCACGUGUGGAUAUUUGCAUGUACCCUACGAAUAAGCAUCGGCUAACUCCGUGCCAGCAGCCGCGGUAAUACGGAGGAUGCGAGCGUUAUCCGGAUUUAUUGGGUUUAAAGGGUGCGUAGGUUGUCUGUUAAGUCAGCGGUGAAAGCUUGUGGCUCAACGAUGGAAUUGCCGUUGAUACUGGAAGACUUGAGUGUGUUUGAGGUAGGCGGAAUGCAUGGUGUAGCGGUGAAAUGCAUAGAUAUCACGCAGAACACCGAUUGCGAAGGCAGCUUACUAAGCCAUAACUGACGCUGAGGCACGAAAGCGUGGGGAGCAAACAGGAUUAGAUACCCGAGUAGUC
rnacentral:rRNA from 1 species